CACGCACAGGGCCCCGCCACCAGGGAACCUCUAGGCUGUCUGACCCCUACUGGUGUCCUAGGGAAAUUGUCCCUCCCUCCAGGCCAUCUGAGCAAGCUCUCCCGGGCUGGGCCUCACCCUCGAGAGCUUCCAACGUAGCAGAAGUAAAAUGUCUUGAAACGUUGAGAAGCUCGGCAAGGAAAGAAACCACUAAGAGAUGACCAUAUCCGUCCAAUCUCUUCAAAAAGAAAAGAAUACAGAGCUUUCAAAAUGGGUAUAUGGCACUGGCUGUUUUGUACCUGCUAUUUUCACUUGAUGAAUACAUCAUGAACUUUCCUCCUUAGACAGAGAGAGCGUAUGUGCACAUGCAUGCGGGGAGGGGCAGAGAGAAUCCUGAAGCAGACUCAGCGCGAUGCUGGAUCCCACCACCCAUGAGAUCACGACCUGAGCGGCAACCAAGAGUCAGACGCGUAACCAGCGGAGCCACCCAGGCGCCCCCUUCCCAGACCAUUUUGUUGAGUGAAAGCAUCCAGGGACAGAUUUAUUCCAACCAAGUCCAGCCGAGAACAGUGAUGGAUACUCACGGAGUCCACACGCGGCCCUGCAGAACAAGAUUUAUAUUCUUGUAAAAAUCUUCAUCCUAGCGCCUUAUCAGAUCUGAUUUCUUGAAUUGGUUUUCUGAUGGGGAGUGGCACUUCUCCCUCCUUAGCUGCGGGGGGAGAAAGGCCAUCUUUCACAGUUCUUUCUUUCUUUCUUUUUUUUUUUUUUAAAGAUUUUAUUUAUUUAUUCAUUCGACAGAGAUAGAGACAGCCAGCGAGAGAGGGGAACACAAGCAGGGGGAGUGGAGAGGAAGAAGCAGGCUCAUAGCAGAGGAGCCUGAUGUGGGGCGAUCCCAUAACGCCGGGAUCACGCCCUGAGCCGAAGGCAGACGCUUAACCGCUGUGCCACCCAGGCGCCCCCACAGUUCUUUCUAAGGGACUUAGUUCAUGGUCAUGGCUUGCAUUUGGGGGGGCAAUUCCAUCAGUUGGCAUUAGAAGGAAAAAAGCAGGCCUGCUGAGCUCAGUUUUACUAGCAGAAAUGGGGAAAGAGUGAAGAGGAUUGACUUGCCAACUGUGAAAUGGGGAGCAUGGGUUGUUUUUGUUCGUUGAACGUCAUCCUUUGGAUUCCCUUUAAUGGCGGAAAUUCUGACUUUCUUUAGAUAAGAGGAUUAAGUUUACACCCCUCCCCAGGCUGUGAGUGUGAUAUGAGUUAUGGCCACUUUUAGGUGCUAUUAGCCCCUUGGCUUCAGGGAGCACACAGGAAAAGUGACUCUGGAGGGAUGCAGUUCACGUCAAACCUUUAACAAAUCCACAUCACGAAAACCCAAUUAAGAUGACUUUGGUGUAAAAGAGGAUUUACCACUUUGCAGCAACUCACCAUGUGAUUACUUUAAAUAGACAGUUCUUCUGCAUUUUGUAUCUUUUCUCCCCCCCAAAAAUGAAUGUGCUUUUUUUUUUUUUUUUGAGACUGCACUGUGAGCCUAGCUCUAUAAGAAAACCACAUAGGCCAGAUCUCAAAAGCGAACGAUGCCCCCUCAUUCUGUGCAAGUGAGUUUUUUUGGUGUCUUUGAGCACCCACCUCCAGUGCCUAGUGAGAUAGUCAUGCCACCCAGGAAAGUGGGAAAUGUUGCCUAAGAACAGCGCCCACAUCCCAGCAGUCAUGUGGGGGGCUGGCCACACCUCUCCAGAUGCCGGCAACACAACGUGUGCCAGAGCUCACAGACCCCCUGCCGGAAGCCAGGUAGCCUAGGGAGCAAAGUCGGGACAAUGAGGCGCCAAAGGCCCAACGCUGGCAAGGUGCCCAGGGCGAUGGUGGCCAUUGGGACAGUUCUGCGUCACUCAAUUGUGAAAGCUGAUUCUAUUUAAUUCGCUUUAAUUAAAAUAGGAGGGCCAGUUUUACCCCAAGGCAGAAGAUGUUGUCAGUGGAUGCAGAGUGAGGUUUGAGGUCCAGGAAGCAAGAGUGUCGCCUCCCUUGCCUCUGUCCCAGAGGAUUGACUUGGCAUCUUGUAGUCGCCCUUCACAAGUCACUGGACUGUUACCCUGUUUGAAGAACACAGCUUCUCCUGCCAGGAAGCAGGGCACCACUUGAAAGGCUCGAAGGGCUAAAGUCUAGAGCAUUCGAUGAGCAAGGAGAAGGCGUGAAGGGAAAUGAUGAGUGUGUAUAUGACACAGAAGACAGAGGUUUUUUGGGUUUUGUCUUUGCUUUAGAGAGAGGGCGCGCAUGCGAGCAGAGGGUGGAAGGGGAGAGAGAGAGAGAGAGAAUCUCACGCAGUCAUCCUGCUGAGUGCAGAGCCUGAUGCAGGGCUUGAUCCCAUGAUCCUGACAUCAUGACCUGAGCCGAAAUCAAGAGUCAGGCACUUAACACUGAGCCACCCAGGUGGCCCUGGAAAACAGAGUUUGUCUCAUUUCCCACUGAAUAUAAACUCCUUUGGGCAGAAGGUUUUGUGUUGUGUUCAUUGAUGAAUCCCCAGCACCUAGAACCAAGUCUGGUGCAUUGUAGGAGCUCAGGAAAUAUUUAUUCAAUGAGUGCUUCCGAAAUGUUGAAUGAGGGAGUCCUUCCAAUGAAGGGGCUGCUUCCCUGUGAAGCCCUAUGGGGGAAAAGGGGUGUAAGUCAGGGUGCCUAUCCUAAGGUCUGGCCAUAUGCUAGCCCCAUAACCAGCUGGCAUUUAUUCAUUCCUUCAUUCAUUCAAGGAACAUUUACCGAGCCCCUCUUCUGUAACAUACAACCCAACAUGAGCCAGGCUCUGAGGUUACCAUGGUGACUCAGGCUGGGACCACAACAUUCUGUAGGCAUUCACCGGGCUGGGGCGGGGCAGAGGGGAGCAUUAGGGCAGCUCGUGUCAAGGUCUACAGUCCCUCAAAGGCAUGCUGGGACCACCUACCAGUCACACCCCCUCACUCUGCACUUCUCCACUACUGAACCCGCUGAACAUGACCUUUCCUCUGGCUAGUCCUUCCCAGCUUUGUUCACCCCAGGGCCCAGCGCCAUAGUAAAUGUACCUUUCCCAGCAAAGUGAUGGUCCCGGGAGCCUUUGGCUGUAUUUCCUGAAACAGUUUUAACUUACUCCUGUUUACAAAGGGCACUGGGCAGGCUCAAAAUAGUGCCAGAAGACAAAAAAACAACAACAAGGAAUCUGUUUCCACAAGGCCUGAACAGUUCCUGUUAUAUCUGUUUUGUGGACUGGACGAUUAUUUUACAUGCUGUCCAAGCUGGGCCAGAACUUGCUGGG